AAUCAACGCUGGCGGCGUGCCUAACACAUGCAAGUCGAACGAGAAAGUGACUUCGGUCACUGGACAGUGGCGUCCGGGUGAGUAACACGUGGGUAAUCUACCUUCGGGUGGGAAUAACGUCUCGAAAGAGACGCUAAUACCGCAUAAUGCAGCGGCACCUUAUGGUGAAUAGUUGUUAAAGCGGGGGAUCGCAAGACCUCGCGCCUGAAGAGGAGCCUGCGGCAGAUUAGCUAGUUGGUGAGGUAAUGGCUCACCAAGGCUGCGAUCUGUAGCUGGUCUGAGAGGACGGCCAGCCACACUGGCACUGACACACGGGCCAGACUCCUACGGGAGCAGCA
rnacentral:rRNA from 1 species